rnacentral:rRNA from 1 species
AAUAUUGCGCAAUGGAGGAAACUCUGACGCAGCGACGCCGCGUGAGCGAUGAAGGUCUUCGGAUCGUAAAGCUCUGUCCUUGGGGAAGAAGGUCUUCGGACUUGACGGUACCCAUGGAGGAAGCCCCGGCUAACUACGUGCCAGCAGCCGCGGUAUUACGGAGGUGGCAAGCGUUGUCCGGAAUUAUUGGGCGUAAAGAGCGCGCAGGCGGCCUGUUAAGUCUGAUGUGAAAGCCCACGGCUUAACCGUGGAAGGUCAUUGGAAACUGAGAGGCUUGAGUACAGAAGAGGAAAGCGGAAUUCCACGUGUAGCGGUGAAAUGCGUAGAGAUGUGGAGGAACACCAGUGGCGAAGGCGGCUUUCUGGUCUGUAACUGACGCUGAGGCGCGAAAGCGUGGGGAGCAAACA